ACAUACAUGUGUGUAGUAUGCGCGAUCAGAAGAAGAAGCCAGGAGAGAGCUCAAACCCUAGUUCAGCAAAUCCUCCAAAUCGAAGCUCAAAUCAAGCCCGAAUCGUCUGCAUGAUUACAAAUUCGUGAUCGCCUAGUCGUGAGGAUCAUAAGUUGACUCUAAACAAGCUAGGUGGGAGCUUGAAAAGGAACGGGUCAAACGGAUCAUGGAUGCGAAGAAUGUUUGUGCGGACGUGAGGGUAAAACGGCUUAUGGAAUUUACAUGGCUAUGAAUCAGCAAAUUAUUAAGGCAAGGUAUUAAAACGGGUCAAUACUUUGACCCGCGCCAGGUACAUUUUGGAUGCCGGAAGACGAUCAAGCUCGACGAAGGACCGAACACAAUAUAGAUACAUGCUUCCGCACUUUAACACUUUGUAAAUUUUAAACAACGAAUUCAACCACGUUAUGUAGAAUAACUUAUGAAUUGUAAAAGUUUUAAUAAAUUCGUAUUUUUAUAGUAUGUGUAGGCUUAACUACACAUCUAAUUGUUGGUGUUUACAUAUAAAAUUGUUAAUUAGUAACUAGGGUGUUACAAGUUGGUAUCAGAGCCCUGGUUUAAGAGAUUCAAGUA